rnacentral:rRNA from 1 species
CCUACGGGAGGCAGCAGUGGGGGAUAUUGGACAAUGGGGGAAACCCUGAUCCAGCGAUGCCGCGUGAGUGAAGAAGGUUUUCGGAUUGUACACCUCUGUGGAGGGGGACGAUAAUGACGGUACCCCUUUAGGAAGCCACGGCUAACUACGUGGCAGCAGCCGCGGUCAUACGUAGGUGCAGCGCGUUGGCUGGAAUUACUGGUUGUAAAGGGAGUGUAGGCGGGAAAGCAAAUCCCAAGUGAAAACUAUGGGCUUAACCCAUAGCAUGCUUUUGAAAUUGUUUUUCUUGAGGGAAGUAGAGGCGAGCGGAAGUCCGAGGGUAGCGGGGAAAUGCGUAGAUAUUAGGAGGAACACCAGUGGCGAAGGCGGCUUGCUGGGCUUUUACUGACGCUGAGGCUCGAAAGCGUGGGGAGCCAACAGGAAUAGAUACCCGUGUAGGC